AGUAAAGUGGCGGACGGGCGAGUAUUACGUGAUCAAGCUACCCUGAAGACUGGGAUAACCGCUGGAAACGGCGGCUAAGACCGGAUGCCCUGACCUGGGUGCAUACUUGAGUCAAGAAAUGGGCGGGACCUUUCGGGGCCGCCUGCUUCGGGAUGCGAUCACGACCUAUCAGCUAGUUGGUGAGGUAACGGCUCACCAAGGCUACGACGGGUAGCCGGCCUGAGAGGGUGGUCGGCCGCACUGGGACUGAGACACUGCCCAGACUCCUACGGGAGGCUGCAGUCGAGAAUCUUCCGCAAUGGGCGAAAGCCUGACGGAGCGACGCCGCGUGGAGGACGAAGGCCUUUUGGUUGUAAACUCCUGUCACGUGUUUUGAAUGUGCGUCGGCGAACAGUCGGCGCAUUGACGUAUGCGCGAAAGGAAGCACCGGCUAACUCUGUGCCAGCAGCCGCGGUAAUACAGAGGGUGCGAACGUUGUUCGGAAUUACUGGGCUUGAAGCGCGCGUAGGCGGCCCCGCAAGUGCGGUGUGAAAUCCCACGGCUUACCCGUGGAACCGCGCCGUGUACUACGGGGCUAGAGGAUGGUAGAGGAGGGCGGAACUCUUGGUGGAGCGGUGAAAUGCGUAGAGAUCAAGAGGAACACCGGUGGCGAAGGCGGCCCUCUGGUCCAUUACUGACGCUGAGGCGCGAAAGCUAGGGGAGCAAACGGGAUUAGAUACCCCGGUAG
rnacentral:rRNA from 1 species